rnacentral:misc_RNA from 1 species
GGCAGCCCUAGUAGUUAAAGCAGCGUCUCUCGCGCACAUAGCUAGAGAAUCUACGGAUAUUCAUCGCCUUUCUCAAUUCUACAAAGAGAUGUUUGGAUUCGAGGAAAUUGAGAGUCCAAAUUUUGGUGAACUCAAGGUUAUUUGGCUAAAUCUUCCUUCUGCCUUUCAACUUCACCUCAUCGAGAGAGACCCUAAAUCCAAGCUUCCCGAAGGUCCAUGGAACGCCAUGUCACCCGUUGCUGACCCUAGCCAUCUUCCCCGAGGUCACCACAUCUGUCUCUCUGUUUCCAGUUCCAAUUUCGACUCCGUCGUUCAUGCUCUCAAGGAAAAGG